GACGAACGCUGGCGGCGUGCUUAACACAUGCAAGUCGAACGGAAAGGCCCUGCUUUUGUGGGGUGCUCGAGUGGCGAACGGGUGGGUAACACGUGAGUAACCUGCCCUUGACUUUGGGAUAACUUCAGGAAACUGGGGCUAAUACCGGAUAGGAGCUCCUGCUGCAUGGUGGGGGUUGGAAAGUUUCGGCGGUUGGGGAUGGACUCGCGGCUUAUCAGCUUGUUGGUGGGGUAGUGGCUUACCAAGGCUUUGACGGGUAGCCGGCCUGAGAGGGUGACCGGCCACAUUGGGACUGAGAUACGACCCAGACUCCUACGGGAGGCAGCAGUGGGGAAUAUUGCACAAUGGGCGGAAGCCUGAUGCAGCAACGCCGCGUGCGGGAUGACGGCCUUCGGGUUGUAAACCGCUUUCGCCUGUGACGAAGCGUGAGUGACGGUAAUGGGUAAAGAAGCACCGGCUAACUACGUG
rnacentral:rRNA from 1 species